CCAGAGAACAAGAGGAGAAGCUGAAUCUGGAAAGAUAAUGAACACUCAAUAGACACACAUGGUCAUGUGAGUGCAGGAAAACAUAUAUUCUGUGAGAUUACAAAUUUCCCUGUGAGGUAGCACAGAACUCACAUGCUUAUUUCCAUUUUUUUGCUCCUCUGCUCAGGUGGGACUCGGAUCCCAGGAUGUCUUAGAGUAGGAGGCAGGUGGACCUCUCCUGAAAACAAAAAUGACAGAGAAGCAAGCUCUCAAGCAGCAUGGAUGGAACUCUAGGAGAGAGACCAGGGAGACACAGAGGGAGCUGUGCUGCAGAUCUCACACAGAGAUCUGACAAUGAGCAUCAGAGCCUGGGUGGGAAGAAAGUUGGACUGGGGUACAGUAAGGGAGAAGGGCCAGGAGGAAUCCAUUCCUGGGAUCAGGAAGGUGUGGUCAUCAUUGCCCUGCUUCCACCACUCCUCUAAACUUAACUUCCCACUUAUCACAGACUCAAACCCAGCUGGAAUUCAGAACAGGAGGUUCCUCUCAGUAGCACAAAAGGAGCAGACAUAGCGUGGCAUCAAUGUCCCCUUCAUAUAGAAAGUGUGUACCCUAUAUGCAAAUAUAUGCUCUGAAUUCAGAUUCAUAACCUGCUCACAGUUUGUGGAACUCACAGCUCCAUCCCAAGACACGGUUGAGGUCUCCCAGGAGGGCAGAGGUGUGGAUGAAAGAUGAGACUUCUGGGUCUUCUCCUGUGCCUGGUGACAGCCCCUCAUGGUUUCCUGUGCCAGUUGCAGCUGCAGGAGUCAGGACCUGACCUGAUGAAGCCCUCACAGACACUGACCCUCACCUGCUUAGUCUCUGGCUACUCCAUCACCAGUGACAGUACUUGGAAAUGGAUCCGUCAGUCCCCAGGAAAGAGUCUGCAGUGGAUGGGGCAUAUUUGGUAUGAUGGUGAUACUAAGUAUAACCCGACUCUCCAGAGUCGCAUCUCCAUCUCCAGAGACACAGGCAAGAACCAGUUCUCCCUGAAGCUGAAUUCUGUCACCACAGAAGACACAGCCACCUAUUACUGUGGAAGACGCACAGUGAUUUCUUACAAUGGAUUCACCUUCAGUAGCUAUGACAUGAGCUGGAUACCCCAGGCUCCAGGGAAGGGGCUGGAGUGGAUCUCAUACAUCAGUACUGGUGGUAGGAUACACUAUGCAGACUCUGUGAAGGGCCGAUUCACCAUCUCCAGACACGACAGCAAGAACACGCUGUAUUUGCAGAUGACCAGCCUGAAAACCGAGGACACGGCGGUGUAUUAUUGUGCCAAACACACAGUGAGGGAACAUUAG